AUGAUCGUAGAAGACGAGGGUGCGUCGAGCUAUCUCCGGCGCGGUUUUGACGAUGACGAUGUUCUGCUGGAGGGGGUCGCGGAUGGAACUGUCGGAUGUGUGUCGUGGGCCGGCGUCGGAGUCGUAUGUUUGUAUCGGCGGAAUCACGACUGUGAGUGGCUGGGGCGGAAUCCUCUGAUGGGCUUCAAGCGUCGGAAGGAGGCAGUCUAG